GGGGGCGAUAGGUUUCGACAGGGAUAAAAGAGGUAAAAAUAGCGAGUCGAGGUUCCAUGUCCUCGUAAAACCAUGGAAAAACAUUAAUUGCUAGAAACGAACAAUUAGCAGCAGCCUAAUUAGGCUGCUUGUCUUUAAAGGUUCUUUGUUUACGAGACCUUUAUAGGCAUAACCUAAAGUAAACUAUCUUUUAUCUUGCUGCCCAGAAAGGUAAAAGAGAAAAUUCAGGGCUGGUUCAAUUUACAUCCUGUCUAUGGGAGGUAAAAAGAGCGAGAAAAAAAUCAUAGACUACACUCGUAGUGGUUUUUACUGAAAUAUCUUUGGACGCGAGUUCAAGUCUCGCCGCCUCCACCA
rnacentral:tmRNA from 6 species